GAUAAAACAUCCUGCCAUAUACUACGGUUUGAUUGCGCCCGUGGCUUUUAUUAUAUUCGUCAAUUGCAUCGUAUUUCUAAAGAUUUUACGACUGAUAGCAAAGAUGUCUACAACAAACUCAAGUGCAAUAUCAAAUUUUCGAGCGACGGCGAGCCUGUUUAUUCUGUUAGGUCUUACGUGGAUAUUUGCUUUCUGCGCUAUUGGGAAAUUUAGAAUCGUAUUCAAUUACCUCUUCGCAAUUUUCAACACAUUUCAGGGGCUGUUUAUUUUCACAUUUUAUUGUAUGCUGAAACAAGAAGUUGUAAUAUCUUUGAAGAAGCUAUGCAACAUCAAGUCUGAUGACUCAAAGGCCCAAAAACCUAAAG